CCUACGGGUGGCAGCAGUGGGGAAUAUUGCACAAUGGGGGAAACCCUGAUGCAGCAACGCCGCGUGAAGGAAGACGGUCUUCGGAUUGUAAACUUCUGUUCUUAGUGAAGAAUAAUGACGGUUGCUAACGAGCAAGCCACCGCUAACUACGUUCCAGCAGCCGGGGUAAUUCGUAGGUGGCAAGCGUUUUCCGGAAUUACUGGGUGUAAAGGGAGCGCAGGCGGGAAGCCAAGUCAGAUGUGAAAACUACGGGCUUAACUUGUAGACUGCAGUUGAAACUGGUUUUCUUGAGUGAAGUAGAGGUUGGCGGAAUUCCGAGUGUAGCGGUGAAAUGCGUAGAGAUUAGGAGGGACACCGGUGGCGAAGGCGGCCAACUGGGCUUUAACUGACGCUGAGGCUCGAAAGUGUGGGGAGCAAACAGGAUUAGAUACCCGAGUAGUC
rnacentral:rRNA from 1 species